UACGGAGGGUGCGAGCGUUGUCCGGAAUCACUGGGCGUAAAGGGCGCGUAGGUGGCGCGAGUAGUCAACGGUGAAAGCCCGGGGCUCAACCCCGGGUCGGCCGUCGAUACUCUCGUGCUUGAGCACUGUAGAGGCAGGUGGAAUUCCGGGUAUAGCGGUGGAAUGCGUAGAGAUCCGGAAGAACACCGGUGGCGAAGGCGGCCUGCUGGGCAGUAGCUGACACUGAGGCGCGACAGCGUGGGGAGCAAACAGG
rnacentral:rRNA from 1 species